rnacentral:rRNA from 1 species
UACGGAGGAUGCAAGCGUUAUCCGGAAUGAUUGGGCGUAAAGCGUCCGCAGGUGGCAAUGUAAGUCUGCUGUUAAAGAGUCUAGCUCAACUAGAUAAAAGCAGUGGAAACUACAUAGCUAGAGUACGUUCGGGGCAGAGGGAAUUCCUGGUAUAGCGGUGAAAUGCGUAGAGAUCAGGAAGAACACCGGUGGCGAAGGCGCUCUGCUAGGCCGCAACUGACACUGAGGGACGAAAGCUAGGGGAGCGAAUGGG